UCUUCUCCAAUCCUCUCUAGACACAGCGUUCUCCAGUUCCAUGAAACGUUCUCAAUCUCAAAAAUUAUGCAGCCAAGCGUUACAAUACAACCAUCUAUAUUCCAAACUUCAAUUUUUCCUCCUUAUUGAUUCCACUUUCUAACUGUUACAUCUGCACCAAACUUAAUUCUUCUCCCAACUUUAUAUUUUCAUUCCAUUUAAUUCCUUCAUUUUAUUUAUGUUCUAUAUGUUUCCACCAAUCCAAAGUAAUUUUCUUAUUGCCAUGAGACGAUUUUGUUCGCGCCUCCACGCGUAUUCUUCUCCAUUCUUCCUCUCUGGCUACCGAUGGUUUUUUCAAGCCUAACCUUGUCUUUCUAUGAUCAGGUAGGUAAUCAAUUUCAUUCCUCAACCUCUACCUUAGGUUUUUCACCGUUCUCAUCUCCUUCAAGUGAAUGGCAUCAUCUCAUCCGCUCUGACAUGUGGUCCAACCAAGGGGUACACGCAUAAAGAAAGUGCCAUUUUCUCAUGCCUAAAUUGGCUAAGUUGCAAUAUAUAACUUUCCUUUACCCCCUUUUAUUCAUUUAGAUAUGAUUACAUAUUUACAUAUGUAUGAUCAUGCUGAGGUUUUUGUUAAGCUUCAACGGAAUGAAUCGUGUUUUGCUUGAGUGUUAAAAUCAUCGCCUGGGACUAGCCGUCAUGGCUUGAAAACUCGGGGCUGAAGAGUGAAGACGCAGCACAGUGAUGUGCAUACUACUCUACGAAGAUUGUGAGCGUAGAUAAGCAGAUAGUGUUUCAAAUUUAGAGUCACCUCGUUCCAUUUUUCUCUUCAUUGGUAGAUUGAUCACUAAUUACAGGCUUUUGCUCUUCAACAUGCACAAACACAAUAUGAAGGCCAAUCGCUCAGCCCCCUUCGCUCAGUCCCCUGCUGAUUGUGUGCUCGUUUUGCCUUGCUGCCGUUGCCGCUGUUUCUGUCCUGAUUUAUUUGCUGCUCUCCACCUACUUUAUUUUCUUGACUUAAUAGAAAAGCAUGAUGAGUCAAAUAAUACAGCUGCGACAAGGUGAAGGAAGCAAGUGACAAAUGCCAUAAUAUCACUCAUUGCUCCUCUUUCUCAUACGUACGACCUCAUCUUAAUUUUGCUAGUUCAACAUAAGCUCCAUUCUUCAUGGCUCAAGCUCCAUGCCCCACCAACACUAUGUCGCCGACCAGCGCACCGCUGCAAUUGACAACAGUGAUGGAUAAAAGGGGGUCAAUAAUGGAGAAAAGGGGCUAGAUCACGAGCAUCAUCCAUCAAAUUGCAGCACCCAAACGACGAAGCCCGCAACCUGCGACCACGCUAGCAAUCAUGUGUUCCGCCUUCACGGCAAGAGCAACACAGAGAUCUCACGACUCCUUCAUUCUCGUAUGACCACCAAGCAAGAGACGACGUUGUUUAUUGAGUAAAAUACACUCACCCCCCUCAAGAUUUGUAAGAAUGACACUCCACCCCAUUCUUUUUAAAAAUCUACACUCCACCCCAUUUUUUAUAAAGGCAAAUUUUAGUGACGAAAACAAAUUCCUCACUACUAAAAACUAAUUACUAAUUAGUAAAAAUUUAAAUAAAUUUAAUGCAUAUACACUAUCAUACAUUAAUUUAUGAAAAUAAUUUUACUGAAUUAAAUUUAAAAAAACCAUCCACUCUGUCUGUUAAGUCCACGUCUCAUCUAUCUCCAAAUCAUAUUUCUCACCACAAACGGCCACCACCAAGCCUUUACUCCCUUUAACACGGCUCCACUGUCCCACAAUGUGAAGCCCCAUGGCACCUCCAUGCCUCAAAGUUUUGUUGCGACCUGAACCCCAGAACGUGAAUCGCACAUCCCUAAAGCCACUUGUUCAACUACUUCUUGUGAAUUUCACCCAUUUAAGUUGUGUGGUCUUAGAUAUUGUUGGAUUUUGUUAAAAACGAUGCUCCACCGCCUCGUUGGGCUCUAAUAACCUCAG